rnacentral:rRNA from 1 species
CAACGGAGAGUUUGAUCCUGGCUCAGGAUGAACGCUGGCGGCGUGCUUAACACAUGCAAGUCGAACGAACCUUCGGGUUAGUGGCGGACGGGUGAGUA